rnacentral:rRNA from 1 species
ACGCUCGACACCUACGGGAGGCAGCAGUGGGGAAUAUUGGGCAAUGGGCGCAAGCCUGACCCAGCAAUGCCGCGUGAAGGAAGAAGGCUUUCGGGUUGUAAACUUCUUUUGUCAGGGAAGAGUAGAAGACGGUACCUGACGAAUAAGCCACGGCUAACUACGUGCCAGCAGGACCGGUAAUCUGAGCGGGCUGGCAAGGC